UCGAGCGGAGACAGAGCUUGCUCUCUGAUUCGGCGGGGGACGGGUGAGUAAUACCUAGAAAAUCUGCCUGGCAGUGGGGGACAACGCUUCAAAAGGAACGCUAUUACCCCAUACCCCCUACCGGACAAAGCGUGGGACCUUCGGGCCUUGCGCUCUCAUAUGAGACUAUGACGCAUUAUCUAUUUGGUGAGGUAAUGGCUCACCAAGGCUACGAUCCGUAACUGGGCUGAUAGGAUGAUCACACACACUGGAACUGUGACACUGACCCCACUCCUACACGAGGCAGCACGGGGGAAUAUUGGACAAUGGGCCAAAGCCUGAUCCCCUCAUGCCGCGAGUGUGAAGAAGGGCUUCAGAUUGUAAAGCACUUUAAAUCUUGAGGAAGGGCAGAAAUCCAAUACCUUGCUGUUUUGACGUUACCAACAGAAUAAAAAACCGCUAACUCUGUGCCUUCAACCGCGGUAAUACAGAAGGUGCAAGCGUUAAUCGGAAUUACUGGGUGUAAAGCGCGCGUAGGUGGUUCGGUAAGUUGGAUGUGAAAUCCCCGGGCUCAACCUGUGAACUGCAUCAUUGACUGGCGAGCUAGAGUAGGGCAGAGGG
rnacentral:rRNA from 1 species